AGUGAUGGCUGCUUUAGAAUGGAGCAGCUUUGUGAAUAUUGCACCCUUCAAAGGUAUUAAGAGGAGAAAAGAUCCCUCUUCAUGUUCAUGAAUACUCCAAAGUCAGGUUUAAUGUUUCAGUGGUAACCACGAAACAGCCAAGCUCAUCUGGGACAAUUUACCUCAACAUGGCACAACUCAUUGAUCAGAUGUAAAAAAGAGGGAAUGCUACAGAAGCUCAAUGAUCCCAAGAUAAUCACCAUUCUAAGAAGAAAGAGGAGACAACCUACUGUGGUAACUACAGAGGAAGUUCUCUGCUUUCUAUCACAAGCAGGAUUUAGCCAGAAUAUUCUGAAAAGACUGUUAAAGAAUAUAAUUGA